AGAGUUUGAUCCUGGCUCAGGAUGAACGCUAGCGGCAGGCCUAACACAUGCAAGUCGAGGGGUAGAGGAAGCUUGCUUCCUUGAGACCGGCGCACGGGUGCGUAACGCGUAUGCAAUCUACCUUAUACAAAGGGAUAGCCCAGAGAAAUUUGGAUUAAUACCUUAUAGUAUGUUUGAAUGGCAUCAUUUAAACAUUAAAGUUCCAACGGUAUAAGAUGAGCAUGCGUCCCAUUAGUUAGUUGGUAAGGUAACGGCUUACCAAGACAAUGAUGGGUAGGGGUCCUGAGAGGGAGAUCCCCCACACUGGUACUGAGACACGGACCAGACUCCUACGGGAGGCAGCAGUGAGGAAUAUUGGUCAAUGGGCGCAAGCCUGAACCAGCCAUGCCGCGUGCAGGAUGACGGUCCUAUGGAUUGUAAACUGCUUUUAUACAGGAAGAAACACUCCCUCGUGAGGGAGCUUGACGGUACUGUAGGAAUAAGGAUCGGCUAACUCCGUGCCAGCAGCCGCGGUAAUACGGAGGAUCCAAGCGUUAUCCGGAAUCAUUGGGUUUAAAGGGUCCGUAGGCGGUUUAAUAAGUCAGUGGUGAAAGCCUAUCGCUUAACGAUAGAACGGCCAUUGAUACUGUUAGACUUGAAUUAGUGGGAAGUAACUAGAAUAUGUAGUGUAGCGGUGAAAUGCUUAGAUAUUACAUGGAAUACCAAUUGCGAAGGCAGGUUACUAUCACUAUAUUGACGCUGAUGGACGAAAGCGUGGGGAGCGAACAGGAUUAGAUACCCUGGUAGUCCACGCCGUAAAA
rnacentral:rRNA from 1 species